AGCAGCCGCGGUAAUUCCAGCUCCAAUAGCGUAUAUUAAAGUUGUUGCAGUUAAAAAGCUCGUAGUUGAAUUUCGGGGUCAGUAGGUUGGUCAUGCCUUCGGUAUGUACUGGUCUCACUGAUUCCUCCUUCUUGAAGAUCCGUAAUGUCAUUAAUUUGGUGUUGCGGGGAAUCAGGACUGUUACUUUGAAAAAAUUAGAGUGUUUAAAGCAGGCUCGCGCUUGAAUACAUUAGCAUGGAAUAAUGAAAUAGGACGUUUGAUCCUAUUUUGUUGGUUUCUAGGAUUGACGUAAUGAUUAAUAGGGAUAGUUGGGGGCAUUAGUAUUCAAUUGUCAGAGGUGAAAUUCUUGGAUUUAUUGAAGACUAACUACUGCGAAAGCAUUUGCCAAGGAUGUUUUCAUUAAUCAAGAACGAAAGUUAGGGGAUCGAAGACGAUCAGAUACCGUCGUAGUCUUAACCAUAAACUAUGCCGACUAGGGAUCGGAUGAUGUUAAUUUUUUAAUGACUCAUUCGGCGCCUUACG
rnacentral:rRNA from 1 species